rnacentral:rRNA from 1 species
GACGAACGCUGGCGGCGUGCCUAAUACAUGCAAGUCGAACGAACCGCGACUAGGUGCUUGCGGUUGGUGAGGGGGGAUGGCGAACGGGUGAGUAACGCGUGGGUAACCUACCUUUUAGUUAACGAUAACAGACGGAGACGACUGCUAGUACCGCAUACGAGAUAGGAUGACGUGGUCGGGUGAGGUAGGCUGGCGCGAGCUAUCGCUAGGCGAUGGACCUGCGGUGCAUGGGCUAGUUGGACGGGUAAAGGCCUGGCAAGCCGAUGAGGCAUAGCCGACGGGCGUGAGUGAUCGGCCACAUGGGGACGGAGACAGGGCCCAUGGGCCUACGGGAGGGAGCAGUAGGGAAUCUGACGCAAUAGACGGAAGUCUGACGGAGCAGCGCGGCGUGAGUGAAGAAGGUCUUCGGAUCGGAAAGCUCGGUUGUUAGAGAAGAACAGCGCAUAGAGUAGAUGUUAUGCGUGUGACGGUAACUGAUCAGAAAGCCACGGCUAACUACGUG